GAGGAACUAGGGAUUUGGCUUCUUCACCAUUCAGAACAAACUCCCUCCUCUUUGUUCCCUUCGACGGCGCCGACAGACUCAACCUCAUCCUCUUCUUCAGACAACUCGUGGCGGCGAAAGACUCAAUUCCUCGAUCUUCCACGUCUCCGAUCGCUAGCAGCCACGCUCAACCUUCGCCCUUGUGACUUCGCUGACUUCUUCGUUUGA